rnacentral:rRNA from 1 species
UACGAAGGGGGCUAGCGUUGCUCGGAAUCACUGGGCGUAAAGGGUGCGUAGGCGGGGCUUUAAGUCAGGGGUGAAAUCCUGGAGCUCAACUCCAGAACUGCCUUUGAUACUGAGGAUCUUGAGUUCGGGAGAGGUGAGUGGAACUGCGAGUGUAGAGGUGAAAUUCGUAGAUAUUCGGAAGAACACCAGUGGCGAAGGCGGCUCACUGGACCGGCAUCGACGCUGAGGUGCGAAAGCGUGGGGAGCAAACAGG